CGUUGCCACAGCAACAGAGCAGGAGCCAGGCCUGCCAGGCUCGGGCCCGGCGCUGCUGAACCUGGAGUCCGAGUCCAAGUCCAAGGAGGACCUGCGUGAGGAGCCCCGGGAGACAAGGCGGGAGGUCCAGCGCACGGGGCCCCGGCACCCGGCUCAGUCCCCGUCUCCGUCCAGUUACUGACUCGUGGGAGGACCUGAGAGAGACCGAGGCCCACAGCGUGACCCAGGCGCCCCCGGGAGGCGCCCGCCCGGUGUUCCCGAAGCCUGCGUGAGUGCCUGCAGGUCCGGGAGACGGCCCACCCGCCCCGUCCCCAGGGGUGUCCGUCGCCGUCCUUGCUGUCCGCUCCAACCUCCCCACCUGUUCCUGACAGAAGCGGCUCGGUGCAGGGGGUCGGGGAAGGAAUUCCUUUGCAGGAAGGAUGGGGUGACUGGUGGGGGCUGCCCUGUGGAGCCUGACCACGGGGGCUCGUAAUAACUGAGCCCUGAAGGAUGAAGAGGAAUUUCGCCCACUGGGCAGAAGGGAGAAGCACGUGGCGAGGACAGAGGGGGAAGUCUGCAGUGUGGUUAGGGUUCUGCAGGGGAACGUGGCCUGAGAAAGAU